rnacentral:rRNA from 1 species
CUUGGUCAUUUAGAGGAAGUAAAAGUCGUAACAAGGUUUCCGUAGGUGAACCUGCGGAAGGAUCAUUAAUGAGUUAUGUUCUUUAUUGAACAAUCAUCUCUAAACACAUCUGUGAACCCUCUUUUUCUCCGAUUCUUUAUUGAGUUGGAAAAAAAGGCACAAACAUUUUUUUAAAUGCUUAUUUUUACUUUAUAGUCUGAAUGAAAAAUCAAACAAACAAAUUAAAACUUUCAACAACGGAUCUCUUGGUUCUCGCAUCGAUGAAGAACGCAGUAAAAUGCGAUAAGUAAUGUGAAUUGCAGAAUUCAGUGAAUCAUCGAAUCUUUGAACGCACAUUGCGCCCUGUGGUAUUCCGCAGGGCAUGCCUGUUCGAGCGUCAUUUCAACCAAUCAAGCCUAGGCUUGGUCUUGGGGCAUGCGGGUUUUCGCAGCCUCUAAAAUCAGUGGCGGUGCUAGUUAGCUCUGAGCGUAGUAAUACUCCUCGCUAUAGAGUCUAGGUAGUGUCUUGCCAACAACCCCUAAUUUUUUCAGGUUGACCUCGGAUCAGGUAGGGAUACCCGCUGAACUUAAGCAUAUCAAUAAGCGGAGGA